rnacentral:lncRNA from 1 species
GUCCACUGUGGCCCUGCAUCAGAGAGCUCCGGAACAGAACGCUUGGCAGACUUUGCAUACUCUAGAGUCUUUUCUCUUGGAUAUCUCCAGAGACUUCCCUUCUGAGAAAGACUUUAAGAAACACUUUCUAGAUCAUACUACACACAGCAGACACCACAAUGCCCGUUUAUUGAGGCUGAUUAAGUUGCGUCUAUAGCCAGGCCUUUGUUGUGUCUAAUGGAGAACACACACUUUCUUGUUCUUUUGUUAGUCCAGAAUGGAUUCCAAGUCUAAACACUGGCUUCUCUUGUAAGGGAAGGCAAGAGACCUUCCCCGUCUGUGUCUGCGCACGGGAUAUUUCUCUGGUAUUGAUGGAUGGAUGGAAAAUAUGAUACAUCUAGAGCUGGUUCCUGGCAUCAAAUAACCUAAAACCAAACAAGGAGCAGCCAUGGAAAAUGAGAGCAGAGGAGAAAAUAAAAGCCUUGAAGUCCACGCUCCUGCUGAUUGUUACCACACAAGUGAGGAGCCUGCUGCUCAGGCAACAUGCACUGCCUUCUGUAAUUAGAUGGAAAACUAUUUGUUAUGCGUGCUUGGCCUGCCCAGAGGAAAACUCAGCGAGACCGGAAAACCUCAAAACAAAACGUGUGAUUCACUAGGUGCAAACUGUUAAAUAACGAGCCAGGCAUCACACUAAAGAUCUCCUUCCUUUCCCUUCUGCAUCUAACUGCUGCACCACAUGUUGAAAGAACUGUUGUCUUGCUAUUCUUCAGUCUUUUGGAAAUGCAGUUUGAUGUCCACCUCAGCCAGUACCGGAGCAGAGUCUAGAAAAAGCAACAACAUAAUGAGUUGUUAAAAGGAAGUCUUGGGCCACAUGUCUCAAUCGGCUAUUUGGGGCCAUGUGGAAGAAGAAGAAGAAGGAAUUUUCUCAGAGCAAAUAAAACAAAUCAAAGCCUGUAACAAUGAUCAAGUCUAAAACUCCAAAACUCCUGUGAACUCAAGGGCUUCACGCUCAGGACAGAGGCCCGCACAGAUAGCAAGUUCCUAACAUGAUCGCAUCCACGGGAGGAAGGAGCUUGGGAAAACAUCAUAAGUUGUCUCCUAUACCCUUUGAGAAGACUUGCUCCAUACAGGUUCAACACCAGCAGAAAGCACAGGAAAGCCUGGAGCCCACAAGUUCAAAGGACCACCCCCAACCCUACAUAUAUACGCUCAAGGAUCCAGAAACCAACUGAACUGAGAAUGCGUGCUCCUCCUCAGCUGUGCUUUCUCCUGCUCAGCCUCACUCCCGCUGCCCUCCCUCUCCCCGCUCUCACUCUGGCCCACCACUUUUCACUCCUGCUGCCCCUCACUCUCACUUGCCAUUUUAAACCUUGUGCCUUUUUUUAUUUCACUACACUUUUAGUAGUAUUUUCACCUUAUUCUAUUUUUUAAGUCUUCCAUGUUUUUUCUUUCCUUGUACUUUCAUCUAAUUUUGGAGAUGAAGUUUUCAGUUACUGGGUAAUCUUUAUUUAUCUUUGUCCGUUUUCUUGUCCCUUUUGUUUCCUCUUUUUUUCUUUCUUUUCUUUUCUUUUUUGGUCUAUUAUACUCUGAGAAAUGUUGGUACUUUAAAAGAGAUUUAUUUAAUUUACGAAUAUGUGUAAUUCUCUCUCUCUCUCUCUCUCUCUCUCUCUCUCUCUCUCUCUCUCUCUCUCUCUCUCGUGUACUCACGUGCAUGUGCAUGUGUGUGCAGGUGCCUGUGGAGUCCUGAAGUCUCCAGGGUUGAGGUUAUAAAGCAGUUAGGAGGCCACCACAGGUGUGCCAAGCCUCUACCGUACUCAUUCUUAACAGCUGAGCCAUCUCUCCAGCCCCAAGAUGCUUUUACAUUUUAUUGUACUGCUU